UUCCAACCAUUUUCUCAAGUUGGUUGAUUGUAAUCUCCCUUGGAACAUAUGCUUCAUUUAAUACCUUCAGUAAAACAUCACGAUGCUCCUUGGAGUGCAGCAGCAAAGAUAAAAAGGAAAUUUGAGCAGGGGUUUUCUUCAACUGGUCUAAUAUUGAAUACUCUGGCAAUUUCAUCUUUUUCAAAAAUUCUUUGGCUUCUUCUUCAGUGAUAGUCUUUUUGAUAGAUGA
rnacentral:lncRNA from 1 species